rnacentral:rRNA from 1 species
UACGAAGGGGGCUAGCGUUGCUCGGAAUUACUGGGCGUAAAGGGCGCGUAGGCGGACAUUUAAGUUGGGGGUGAAAGCCCGGGGCUCAACCUCGGAAUUGCCUUCAAUACUGGAUGUCUUGAGUUCGGGAGAGGUGAGUGGAAUGCCGAGUGUAGAGGUGAAAUUCGUAGAUAUUCGGCGGAACACCAGUGGCGAAGGCGACUCACUGGCCCGAUACUGACGCUGAGGCGCGAAAGCGUGGGGAGCAAACAGG